rnacentral:lncRNA from 1 species
GUCCUGGAAUGGAAUAUUUUUUAAUCAACAGCAUUGUCCUAUAUUAGUUAUAAAGUUGAAUUCUUUGAUUCGCUGUUUUACGUCAUGCCCGCUAACAAAUUGAAAACUGUACCUAUACGCCUUAUUUUAGUCCAGAUUUUUAGUAUUCGUAUUGUUAUCUUAGAAAGUUUUACUGAUUAAAAUGCUACAAUAGGUAACAAUUUGACAAUCUAGUAGUGUCAACCCUGUUAAUAUGACCCGUGUAUAUAGCAUAUUAAUACUGAAUACA